GCCCGGGUGGUGGAAUGGUAUACACGAAGGACUUAAAAUCCUUUGCCUUAUCGGCUUGUGGGUUCGAAUCCCACCUCGGGCACCA
rnacentral:tRNA from 1 species